rnacentral:rRNA from 1 species
AGGACGAACGCUGGCGGCACGCUUAACACAUGCAAGUCGAACGGAGUUAUUGGAGCUUGCUCUGAAUAACUUAGUGGCGGACGGGUGAGUAACACGUGAGCAACCUGCCUUUGAGAGUGGAAUAGCUUCUGGAAACGGAUGGUAAUACCGCAUAACAUUACCGGACCGCAUGAUCUGGUAAUCAAAGAUUUAUCGCUCAAAGAUGGGCUCGCGCCUGAUUAGAUAGUUGGUGGGGUAACGGCCUACCAAGUCGACGAUCAGUAGCCGGACUGAGAGGUUGGACGGCCACAUUGGGACUGAGACACGGCCCAGACUCCUACGGGAGGCAGCAGUGGGGAAUAUUGCACAAUGGGCGGAAGCCUGAAUGCAGCGAUGCCGCGUGGAGGAAGAAGGUUUUCGGAUUGUAAACUCCUUAUCUGAGGGACGAUAAUGACGGUACCUCAGGAGAAAGCUCCGGCUAACUACGUGCCAGCCGCGGC